GGAACGAACGCUGGCGGCAUGCCUAAUACAUGCAAGUCGAACGAACUCUUCGGAGUUAGUGGCGCACGGGUGCGUAACGCGUGGGAAUCUGCCCCUUGGUUCGGAAUAACAGUUGGAAACGACUGCUAAUACCGGAUGAUGACGAAAGUCCAAAGAUUUAUCGCCAAGGGAUGAGCCCGCGUAGGAUUAGCUAGUUGGUGAGGUAAAGGCUCACCAAGGCAACGAUCCUUAGCUGGUCUGAGAGGAUGAUCAGCCACACUGGGACUGAGACACGGCCCAGACUCCUACGGGAGGCAGCAGUAGGGAAUAUUGGACAAUGGGCGAAAGCCUGAUCCAGCAAUGCCGCGUGAGUGAUGAAGGCCUUAGGUUGUAAAGCUCUUUUUACCGAGAUGAUAAUGACAGUAUCGGAGAAUAAGCCCCGGCUAACUCCGUCGCAGCCAGCCGC
rnacentral:rRNA from 1 species